rnacentral:rRNA from 1 species
CGGGAAAAGCUCAAAUUUGAAAUCUGCCAACAGGCCGAGUUGUAAUUUGUAGAUGGCUACACUGCAUAAUAGUAGAUGCUCAAGUUCUUUGGAAAAAGACAUCAUGGAGGGUGACAAUCCCGUGAGGCAUGUUACUAGGAGCAUAUAGUGGGCUUUCUAAGAGUCGAGUUGUUUGGGAAUGCAGCUCAAAGUGCGUGGUGAAUACCAUGUAAAGCUAAAUAUGGACGAGAGACCGAUAGCGAACAAGUACUGUGAAGGAAAGAUGAAAAGCACUCCGAAAGGAGAGUGAAAUAGUACGUGAAAUUGUUAAAGUGGAAGGGCUUGAGAUCAGAAUUGGUAGUUUGGGUUCCACGUCCUCUUGGGGGCGUGUACUCCCUUUCCACCGGGCCAGCGGGAGUUUCGUCUCUUGGGUAAAAGCAGUGGAAUGUAGCAGCUUGUCUGUAUUAUAGCCUCUGUUCAUACAAGACGUCGAGACUUGAUUUGUUGGCGUAAUGAUCUCUAGCCACCCGU